ensembl:lncRNA SLC9A3-AS1 SLC9A3 antisense RNA 1
CCAGGAGCCACCACAGCCCUGUCUGUGACUCUCAGCUCCCGAGGCUGGGCUCUUCCCCAGGGAAGCUGCAUGACCAUGGCCACAUACAGGAGGUAGGAGACAGAGGCCUCCACGGUGGACGAUCGUGGCGUGAAGUCCACGUUGACCACGUUGUCGGUGCUGGGGGAGCGGAUGAAGGCCAGGGACCCGCGGCGCUCUCCCUGUGGUCAGGAAGCAGCCCGGAGACCCUAAAACUCCAUUGGCCUCAUGUCCAGAACUGAAUCAGGUAGAGAACGGAGCAGAGCCCGAUGGGGCACAGAAGCCACACAGCUGAGUGCCAGAGGAUGGAAGUGGGGCCGCCUAUGUGUCCUCAGACCCCACCCGCCUGAUGGCAGGGCCUGGAGAGCAUGAGGUUGUGCAGGAGCACAGGGCAGAGUGGGCUUAUGGCUGGAGUCAGGGUCCCCAGGGCCGGCAGGGGCACGGGUGUGGAGGGAACGUCAGCUCACUGCACUCAGACCUCGCCAGGUGGGCACCCGUGCCGCCUUCAGUGUGCAGGAUGCUCCCAGGGAAGCCCCCGGGGUCAGGUGGGUGCCGCUGUUCCCACUGAAGAUGCGGCCCCCAGUUCACUGCCCACUCGGGGGGGAUUUGAGGGUCAUUGGUUCUGAGGGCCCUCCGCCUGCUCUUUUGCUUCUAAAUCCAGCAUCUUCUGUAUGACCUUUGUCCCGCUCCUGCCACCCCACGAAGACAGACGUGAGGGUCAGGGGAGCCACGGUGCUAACUGCCACUCUGGGCGGGCACAGGCGAGGGCUGUGCAGCACCCGGGCACGUGGGGUCUUCGGAGGGGCUGCUCCCCACACCACUUCCCCUGCCCCUGCCGAGCCCUGCCGUGGGGUGGGGGGGCGCAGGGAGAGAAAGCAGCCGCCCUGGGUGAGAGCCAGGAGGGACACUGGGCAGGCAGAUGCCACCCCAGGUGUGGGGACCCCCGCUACUGAGUGGCCGGGAGGAGCCCACAGGCUCCCCACAUGCAGCUGAGCCCAGGGUUGUGGUCGUGGGUCGUGGGUCAAGGAUGGUGGCUGGUGUGGUUGGGG